AUCGCUUUUCGGCCUUUUGGCUCAGAUCAAGUGUAGUAUUUGUUUUUAUCAGUUUAAUAUUUGAUACGUCCCCCAUCGGGGGACUACAUAUUAAAUGGAUUUUUUGAACAGGGAGUCGGAAAUGGGGCUUGUUCCGUCCGCUCCACGCAUCGACCCGGUAUUGCAGUACCUCCGGGAACGGUGCAACACUU
rnacentral:snRNA from 8 species